rnacentral:rRNA from 1 species
UCAAAGCUCCGGCGGUACAGGAUGGACCCGCGUCUGAUUAGAUAGUUGGUCAGGUAACGGCUUACCAAGGCGACGAUCAGUAGCCGACCUGAGAGGGUGAUCGGCCACAUUGGAACUGAGACACGGUCCAAACUCCUACGGGAGGCAGCAGUGGGGAAUAUUGCACAAUGGGCGAAAGCCUGAUGCAGCAACGCCGCGUGAGCGAUGAAGGCCUUCGGGUCGUAAAGCUCUGUCCUCAAGGAAGAUAAUGACGGUACUUGAGGAGGAAGCCCCGGCUAACUACGUGCCAGCAGCCGCGGUAAUACGUAGGGGGCUAGCGUUAUCCGGAAUUACUGGGCGUAAAGGGUGCGUAGGUGGUUUCUUAAGUCAGAGGUGAAAGGCUACGGCUCAACCGUAGUAAGCCUUUGAAACUGGGAAACUUGAGUGCAGGAGAGGAGAGUGGAAUUCCUAGUGUAGCGGUGAAAUGCGUAGAUAUUAGGAGGAACACCAGUUGCGAAGGCGGCUCUCUGGACUGUAACUGACACUGAGGCACGAAAGCGUGGG